UACCUGACUGCUCAGAAUCACUCUUUUGGUAGACUUAUACCUAACUGCUCAGAAUCACUUUUUAUCCCAAGUUCGACUACAUCAUUAACACUCAUAAAAUAUAGUUGGAAGAAAAAGUUCAUAA
rfam:Populus trichocarpa scaffold_13_contig_4, whole genome shotgun sequence.